AGAGUUUGAUCCUGGCUCAGAACGUACGCUGGCGGCACGCCUAACACAUGCAAGUCGAACGCACUCGACCUUCGGGUCACAUGAGUGAGUGGCGAACGGGUGAGUAACACGUGAGGAACCUGCCCCGAAGACUGGAAUAACCCGAGGAAACUCGGGCUAAUACCGGAUAUCCCCACCAGGUCGCAUGGCCAGGUGAGGAAAUGCUCCGGCGCUUCGGGAGGGUCUCGCGGCCUAUCAGCUAGUUGGUGAGGUAAUGGCUCACCAAGGCAUCGACGGGUAGCUGGUCUGAGAGGACGAUCAGCCACACUGGGACUGAGACACGGCCCAGACUCCUACGGGAGGCAGCAGUGGGGAAUCUUGCGCAAUGGGCGAAAGCCUGACGCAGCCACGCCGCGUGAGGGAUGAAGGCUUUCGGGUUGUAAACCUCUUUCAGCAGGGACGAAAAUGACGGUACCUGCAGAAGAAGCUCCGGCCAACUACGUGCCAGCAGCCGCGGUAAUACAUAGGGUGCGAGCGUUGUUCGGAAUUACUGGGCGUAAAGGGCGCGCAGGCGGUUUAUUAAGUCAGAUGUGAAAGCCCCGGGCUUAACCUGGGAACUGCAUUUGAAACUGGUCAACUAGAGUAUGGUAGAGGAAAGUGGAAUUUCUGGUGUAGCGGUGAAAUGCGUAGAUAUCAGAAGGAACAUCAAUGGCGAAGGCAGCUUUCUGGACCAAUACUGACGCUGAGGUACGAAAGCGUGGGUAGCAAACAGGAUUAGAUACCCUGGUAGUCCACGCCGUAAACGAUGAUAACUAGCCGUUGGGGGGAUUUACCCCUUAGUGGCGAAGCUAACGCGUUAAGUUAUCCGCCUGGGGAGUACGGCCGCAAGGCUAAAACUCAAAGGAAUUGACGGGGACCCGCACAAGCGGUGGAGCAUGUGGUUUAAUUCGAUGCAACGCGAAGAACCUUACCUGGUCUUGACAUCCUGCGAACUUUCUAGAAAUAGAUUGGUGCCUUCGGGAACGCAGUGACAGGUGCUGCAUGGCUGUCGUCAGCUCGUGUCGUGAGAUGUUGGGUUAAGUCCCGUAACGAGCGCAACCCCUAUCUUUAUUUGCCAGCACAUUAUGGUGGGAACUAUAAGGAGACUGCCGGUGAUAAACCGGAGGAAGGCGGGGACGACGUCAAGUCAUCAUGGCCCUUACGACCAGGGCUACACACGUGCUACAAUGGGAAGGACAAAGAGCCGCGAAGCCGCGAGGUGUAGCUAAUCUCAUAAAUCUUUUCGUAGUCCGGAUUGGAGUCUGCAACUCGACUCCAUGAAGUCGGAAUCGCUAGUAAUCGUAGAUCAGAAUGCUACGGUGAAUACGUUCCCGGGUCUUGUACACACCGCCCGUCAUACCAUGGGAGUGGGUUGCACCAGAAGUGGCUAGUCUAACUUUGUGAGGACGGUCACCACGGUGUGAUUCAUGACUGGGGUAAAGUCGUAACAAGGUAACC
rnacentral:rRNA from 1 species